CUGCUGCCUUCCGUAGGAGUUUGGGCCGUGUCUCAGUCCCAAUGUGGCCGUCCACCCUCUCAGGCCGGCUACUGGUCGCUGCCUUGGUGGGCCGUUACCCCGCCAACUAGCUAAUCAGACGCGGAUCCAUCGUAUACCACCGGAGUUUUUCACACUGCCCCAUGCGGAGCCGUGCGCUUAUGCGGUAUUAGCACCUAUUUCUAAGUGUUAUCCCCCGGUAUACGGCAGGUUAUCCACGCGUUACUCACCCGUCCGCCACUAA
rnacentral:rRNA from 1 species